rnacentral:rRNA from 1 species
AACGAACGCUGGCGGCAGGCCUAACACAUGCAAGUCGAGCGAACCCUUCGGGGUUAGCGGCGGACGGGUUAGUAACGCGUGGGAAUAUACCCUUUGGUACGGAAUAGCCUCGGGAAACUGAGAGUAAUACCGUAUGUGCCCUUGGGGAAAGAUUUAUCGCCAAAGGAUUAGCCCGCGUUGGAUUAGAUAGUUGGUGGGGUAAUGGCCUACCAAGUCUACGAUCCAUAGCUGGUUUGAGAGGAUGAUCAGCAACACUGGGACUGAGACACGGCCCAGACUCCUACGGGAGGCAGCAGUGGGGAAUCUUAGACAAUGGGCGCAAGCCUGAUCUAGCCAUGCCGCGUGGACGAUG